rnacentral:rRNA from 1 species
UACGUAGGGUGCGAGCGUUAAUCGGAAUUACUGGGCGUAAAGCGUGCGCAGGCGGCCAUGCAAGACAGAUGUGAAAUCCCCGGGCUCAACCUGGGAACUGCAUUUGUGACUGCAUGGCUAGAGUACGGUAGAGGGGGAUGGAAUUCCGCGUGUAGCAGUGAAAUGCGUAGAUAUGCGGAGGAACACCGAUGGCGAAGGCAAUCCCCCUGGACCUGUGACUGACGCUCAUGCACGAAAGCGUGGGGAGCAAACAGGAUU